UUACGGCCAUAUCACGUUCAAACACCUGUUCGCGGACGAUCAUCGAAGUUAAGCAACGUCGAGUCUGGACACUACUAAGAUGGGUAACCCUUUGGAAAUACCAGGUGCUGUAA